UACGUAGGGUGCGAGCGUUAAUCGGAAUUACUGGGCGUAAAGUGUGCGCAGGUGGCCGCGCAAGUCGAGUGUGAAAUCCCCGGGCUUAACCUGGGAACUGCACUUGUGACUGCACAGCUGGAGUACGGCAGAGGGGGAUGGAAUUCCGCGUGUAGCAGUGAAAUGCGUAGAUAUGCGGAGGAACACCGAUGGCGAAGGCAGUCCCCUGGGCCUGUACUGACGCUCAUGCACGAAAGCGUGGGGAGCAAACAGG
rnacentral:rRNA from 1 species